GUCAAGUCAUCAUGGUCCUUACGCCCAGGGCUACACACGUGCUACAAUGGCCAGGACAAACCGAAGCGAGGCCGCGAGGCGGAGCGAAUCGGAAAAACCUGGUCUAAGUUCGGAUUGCAGUCUGUAACUCGACUGCAUGAAGUUGGAAUCGCUAGUAAUCGUGGAUCAGCUACGCCACGGUGAAUCCGUUCCCGGGCCUU
rnacentral:rRNA from 1 species